AGUGAACGCUGGCGGUAGGCCUAACACAUGCAAGUCGAACGGCAGCACAGUAAGCGCUUGCUCUUACGGGUGGCGAGUGGCGGACGGGUGAGGCAUACAUCGGCAUCUUCUUUUUCGUGGGGGAUUACGUAGGGACAGUUACGCUAAUACCGCAUACGACCUACGGGUGAAAGCAGUGGUUCUUCGGACCUUUGCUGAUUGAAUGAGCCGAUGUCGGAUUAGCUAGUUGGCGGGGUAAAGGCCCACCAAGGCGACGAUCCGUAGCUGGUCUGAGAGGAUGAUCAGCCACACUGGAACUGAGACACGGUCCAGACUCCUACGGGAGGCAGCAGUGGGGAAUAUUGGACAAUGGGCGCAAGCCUGAUCCAGCCAUACCGCGUGAGUGAAGAAGGCCUUCGGGUUGUAAAGCCCUUUUGUUGGGAAAGAAAAGCAGCAGGUUAAUACCCCGCUGUUCUGACGGUACCCAAAGAAUAAGCACCGGCUAACUUCGUG
rnacentral:rRNA from 1 species